rnacentral:tRNA from 1 species
AUUUAUAUAGUUUAUAAAAAACUUUACAUUUUCAUUGUAAAAAAAAUUUAAAAAAAUUUAUAAAUA